rnacentral:lncRNA from 1 species
ACUGUUGAUUCCAGACUUGGUCUCUGAUGCUUGAUUUACAUCCUGUAACAGCAGCGUCAAGACCUGGCUUAGUUGUAGACCCGGUCAACGAGGGUCCGACACCCCCUGCGACAGCGCAGCCCAGCCCCAGCAGCUCAUAACAGACCUUUUAAAGAUUGAUGCCAGGGCUUAGCAGGACUUGAAGACUCGCCCUGUAGACUUGAGCGCCAACUUUGAAAGCAAGUCCAUUGCCGACUGGCAGAGGACCACGAAGUCUCUACAUGGUACUGAACGAUAAGUAUAUAGCUACAUGUGACAAAGACAGGUUGCUUGAAGAGUGAAGAACUGAACUCGAAAUAUAUGAGCCCCAUGCAGCCCCAUGCAACAAGGAACGCGCUCCAUGCUGGGUCUUGAUUUGCUGUGCAUGCUCCGGUCAGAC